GAACUUAUCUGACGAUGAGUUACAAGUCAGAAAAGACCAUGAGAUCCUUCACCCUGAGCUUCUUUACAAGUUGAAGUCCAAUGAUGAGGACUUCGUACUUGAUUUUAUUAUUGGAAGCCUUGAAGUCGAAUCAGAGGGCAUAAUCUAUCACGACUCCUUUUGGAUUGAUGAGGAUGAGACCAGCCUGGUAGCCUUAUGAGUUUGAAGCUCUGUCGACAUGUAGGACCCAUCGAGCUAUAUUUUCUUGAUCUUCGGGUUGUGCC
rnacentral:lncRNA from 1 species